rnacentral:tRNA from 1 species
GGAAGGGCAAGCCAACUGGCGAUGGCAGCCGCCUCGAAAGCGGUCGAGCGUGACAAACACCUUGACGGGUUCGACUCCCUCUCCUUCCGC